AGCGGGCGGCGGGGGCUUGGGGGGAGGUGUCGGGAGUGGCGGGCGGCGGGGUGGGAGGGGGAGGAGGAGGGACUCAGGUGGAGUUGCGUAACGGGGGCUCCGGGUUGGGGGAGUGGACGCCGCUGAAGGAAGGGGCCAUGCCCCACCGGCGGGGCGGGGGCCAGCUGCGCGUCGCGCUCCGCCCCGCCCUGCCUUGGGCGCGGCGCACUUGGCACAAGCAGCAAAUAAUGGCUUCGGGGAGCGCGGACGGUGCUGGCUGGGGUGGCUCCGAGGCGACGGGGGUCGGGCGGCCCGUUAACGCCGGGGCGAGGGGCUUCCUCCUUCCCCCCCUUUCCCCUGUUGGUUCGGCCCGUCCCGCCCCUCCCGAGCCCGUGACAGGUGGAGCGGCACCCGACGCGCGCGCACGCGCCCCCGCCCGCGGCCGUCACGUGGCGCCGCGCGCGCCUCGCGCGAGACUCGCGGCGCGAGGGGUCUCGCGAUGCCUCGGCGGCCCCGGGGCGUGAGGGCGGGGAAGGGCCCGGCCCGGGCUUGGAGCGGCGGGAAAGGCGCGAGGGAGGGAAGGGGAGAGGAAAGCCUGGGAAUUCGGGCUUCUGGGGACGCCUCGCGCGUGAGUAAAGUCCUGCCUGUACCUCCCGCCCCUGGCAGCUCUGAUGGUGUCCAUUCAUGUGUAUUCCAAACAUGGACUGCUUUCAUUUGUGGGAAUAGUCUUGGAAGAAGGAGACUGAGACCUACCAGAGCACUUCAUUUGGCCCCCUCCCAGCCACCCCGUAUCCUGUGAUCCAGGCAGGGAAUAACAAUCACCUGCACGAACAGUUCUCCCAAGAGCAGCGUGCUCGGAGCGUUGCCUUUCCUGACUGUCCUCAUCACGCGGCACAACGUGGGUCCAAAAUUUGGAUCCCAAAUCUGUGGCACGUGUGCAGACAAACUUCAAGGCAGUCAUCCCAGCACAGAGUCAGCUUUUGCCAUGGGAGCAAGCUUGGAUACUGCUGGCAUGGCAGUGUCUCAAAUUCCUGAGGAAAAAAUAGGAAUUACCUGCAACAGUUAAUGCAGGGAGAAGCAGGGCGGGUACUGCACGAGGAGUUUCUCAAAGUCUUUCUGUCAGCACCACCUUUUGCUUUCAUAUGAUUUUGCAUGUUAUAGUCUGGGGCACAAUCCUUGAACAAAACAACAACAACUCUUUUUCCAUUUAAAGAAAGUCUGGAUAGAAUAGUCCUCCAGCAGGUUAUUGGGGCAGACUUUCAUUCCUGUACAUAUGAGAAACGUGUGGGAAUAGAGGUAACCAGCCAGCCUGUAUCCCAGACUGAUGCCUGAAGCUUCCAUUGUUUAUUUUUUCACAUCAAUAACAAUAUUGUAAAAAUAACUUUUCAGCUGAACCUAUUUACACAGUCUCAGAUGGCUCUUGUUCUUUUUGUCCUUCCUUGGCCACCCUCCACAGCCUUGUAAUGGAAAUCCCUGCACAGUUCUCUGCUCAGCCUUUGGAUAUCUAACUCUUUUUAGGGGAGAUGCGUGUGCUCCACAAGUGUGUUUUUCCAGGAUUCUUCCUUGUCACACUGUAAAAUUGAUGCAAAGCACGUCCUGCCAUUUUUCUAAGCAGAGGGAGAAAUCGUGUCAUUCCCCACAACAGGCUCUUCAUUGCCACUUGACCUGUCUCCAGUCCCCUGUUCAGUCCUAUCCACAGGUAACCUCUCUUUUUAAUGGAAAGUGUUUCAGCUUAGAAAAAGGCAGGUAAUGUCUGUGUUUCUCGUGUGGGUUUUUGCCCUCACUUUACUUCAAUUUGUACUUCAAUAACAAAGCAACUGAAUAUAAUAUAUAAAAAUCCAUUUGUUUUCUGAAAUUAAGUGAACUUCAUCCAAGCUCAAAAUCCUGACAGUCACUUUUAACAUUUGGAAGAUUUUGCAAGCACACGCUGCAAAAAAUAUUUUGACAUCUAGGCUGUCAGAUAAUCUGUCAGCAACAGUUAUAUCAUUCAGGGAGAGAACUGUUAAUUUCCAGAGUAAUUUAUUUGGAAAAUAAUGCAUUUACUGCAGUGAAAUAUCCUACUGGAUGCUAGAAAAGCUACUUAGCAUUUGUGCAGGCAGAGUAGUUGGCUUCAGAACGUGGGUUAUUCUCUUGUGACAAAAACACAGGAAAAGAAAUUCUUGCCAGGAACCAUCAGUGAAGAGCAGGUACCUGCAAAGGGCAGGAUGGUCACAGACGUGCAGGAAGUGUUAGGAACUCUGUGCAGGAGGAUGUAAUGCCUGGAGAAAAGGGGAGGAGUGCUCAGGGUCACACUCUUUACAGAAUAGGCUCAUGGGGCACAAUGGAUCAUACACCAAAUGCUUUACUUGGAAUAAUCUUUAAAAGCCAGGGAAGUUCUCAGCACUGUGGUGCUGUGCCCAGAAAAAACCCCCAAAAAAUCUUCCAAUUCUGCUUCAGUUUUCUCUGUCCAUUUGUUUUUCCAUUACAAAUCGGUCUUGUUUCUGUAGGAAAAUGUCAGAGCGUUACGUGUAAUGAUGGUGAUGACCAUCCCCAAAGGGCUCAGAGGACUAAAGCCCAGGUCUUGUCUGCUUGUGCUGUUGGAUGGUGUCAGUCUGAGGCUGCAUCAUGUUUCAUCUGGCAUAAUUUGUGUCCCAUCCUGAUUUACACCUAAAAUUUAAGUUAUAACUGUGAUUUCUUGUAAAGAAAAUAUGUGCUUUUUUCAUGCAUUUUACUGUGUAAUUAACAAACAGUAAAUUUGUUACCCUGCUUGUUGUGCUUUUGUUGGCAGUGACGGCAACAAAAGCCGUGAUUUUGCAGGAAUAAGCAAGACCAUGUCAUGGAGGAAGAUUGGCAACUUUAAAGAUUAUUCAGCACUUGAAAGGUAUUUGCAACAUGGGCAAUCUCAGCUUUCAAAUUCUUCUUAACUCUGUCCCUGUCUAAUUACUCAACCAAGUCUCAUUGGCACUUACUUUUCAUUGAUGGUUAAUGCCAUUCUCAGAGCUCUGUCAAGCUGCUUCUUCCAGAGGCUUUUUUUCUGUGCUCCCCCUGAUGCAGGAGAUGUUUUCUCUUUUCAGACAGACAAAGCCAUUAGAUCAAGUUGAUGAAUUUUACUCUGAGUUUCCCGUGUUCUGAGUCACUUUUAGAAAUUGCAAAACAAAAUGUAUAAGACACCCCCUCUUAGACUGUUAGACCUUACCUCAUCUACAUCAACCUUUUAUUCUGUUGCCAUUUUCAGUGGAAAGACAACCUAACAAAUUAUUGUGGGAACUUCUGUGUUUUAUCAUUUUCAUUUAACUUCAGUGAAACUAAAAAAUUAUAAACUCUUGCCAUAUUCGUCUUUAUCCUCCUUAUUUGUCCUUAUGCAUUCUUUUUUUUCUGAGGCAAAUCAGAAGAGAGAGAAAAAAAAGGGUGAGGGUAAAAAGAGGAAAGAGUAAAAGAAGAACAAAACAAAGGAGAAAAAAAAAGUUUUUAUACUUAUUCUUGGAAUUUUUCAACUUGAGAAAAUACCCUAUUUAAAGGGUUUACAGUUAUUUCGUACAGAAUAACAGUAGUUUUGUCUUUCUUAAAAAUUCUCUGCCAUUUCUACUGUAAAUUAGCAAAGCUCCACCCAGGUCAAUUGAGGACAAGUUGCACAAACUUUAGCCACUGUAUUAGCCCACAUUUAAUAUGUUUUAAAAUACUUCAUCCGAGUUGACAAGAUGCACAUAUGGUUUCUGAGUUAUGGAUUGAAGGGCUGUAGCUUUUAGUCUUCCUCUCUGUCUCCUCACUGUCAUAUUUCACUCACAAUCUUACUGCAUCAGACUUGGAUUAUCAACCUUUUUUUGUCCAUAAACCAUCCAGCAUAUUAAUGUUUUGCAUAAAUUAUAAGAAAUUUAAUCCAAAACCAACUAAAAAAUAUUAUUUUGCAAAAUCACAGCAAAUUUUAAAACUGAGCAGUCCAAGCUUUUCGGAAUGUAUUGCGGAUGUUGUCGUGAUUUAUGUGCUGUCAGUUAUUUUUGUAUAUGUUGAAAAAAACCUGACAAGUUUCCAUCUCACAUUUCAUAAAUCCGGGUUUUCUGUAUACAAAGCACGUGUCAGAAAUCAGUAUCUAAACAACAUGCCAGUUGGCUUCUCCAUGUGGCAGCUUGUAAACAAAAAUAUUUGGGGACUGCGCAUUUGUGACAUGACAUGUAAUGCGAUGUAUAAACACCAGCUAUUGGGAAAUAUCCUGUUCCUCUGCAUUGCUAAUAAAAUGAUAAAUCAGGCUCACACUGCUGCAUCACAGUUCAGCAGGUGGAACUUUCCAAAUUCAGGUGGUUCUGUUGGUUUUUUUUCCAAAUAGGUGUACAGGGAGGUUAAAUACUUUAUUAGUGACCUAUCUGUGCAUCAGAGGGCUACGUCAAAACUGACGUGGUGUUUUGUGCAUUUGUCUUUAAGUUACUUGGAUUCUUUUUUUCCCCAUAUUAAUCGUGUUUUGGUCAGAGACAAAUUCUGGUUGUACUGAAAUCAGUGAAGGAUUUUCCACCAACUUCCAUGGGAUCAGGAAUCAGCUGUCAGAGGACAGGGGAAUUACCAGGGCAAACCGUGCCAGCUGUUCACACCGUGCAGGUUCCAAGAUGUGAAUCAGCCUCCACGAGAUUUCAACUCGAUAUGAUGAGAACACAAAAUACUGCAAAGUAUUUCAUUCCAUGAAAGCCAAAACAAACAGGACAAGUCUUGUGGAGAAGAUGUAAAGACACAUUAUUACAACUUCCCAGUAUAAAUGCAGCCAGAAAAGGCUAAAGCAAAUCAUGUUUAAGGAAUAAAAGGUUGAGCAGGAUAUAGGAAAACUAGAGUGAACUAAAAGUAGUUGUUAUCUGACUGGAUGCUGUUUAAAUGAUCAUUGCAGCACAGAGGGCUGAGGAUCAUCAACAGGCCUAACAUUAGUACAUCACAAAGUGCAGGACAUGAAAGUAAUUUAAAACUCCCAAGAAUUUUUAUUAUUAGUCAAUGAUGCAGGUUCUUUUAACAUUUUAUCCACUUUUUGAUUGUUGUCAAGCAGGCAAAUAAACAUUCAUAGGAUCCUCUAUAAAAUAUGAUUUCUUUUUGUUCUUUUGCUGCUACAUCUAGUUAAAUAGUCUGGCAUUUCUGUUCAUGUGUCUUGUUAUGUUUUCUGCCACAUCCAUUUUUGCAAAAUCAGACACCAAAUAAGGAAAAAACAAUUAAUGAACUGUGCAAUAGGUAAGUAGCUUCCUAGUGUUGUGACAAGGGGG